AGGGCAGACGGUGGAUGCCUUGGCUCUCGGAGGCGACGAAGGACGUGAUAAGCUGCGAAAAGCCCGGUUGAGGUGCAAAUAACCCUUGACGCCGGGAUAUCCGAAUGGGGAAACCCGAUUGGUAGAAAACCAAUCACAUCGAAAGAUGGGCGAACGUGGGGAACUGAAACAUCUAAGUACCCAUAGGAAGAGAAAAUAACAAUGAUUGCGUAAGUAGUGGCGAGCGAACGCGCAAGAGCCCAAACCAUAGAUGUUUUGGCAUCAUAUGGGGUUGUAGGAUCGCAAUGUGGCAAGAAGCAAAGGAAGUGGAACCCGCUGGAAAGAGGGCCAUAGAGGGUGAAAGUCCCGUACACGAAUCUUUUGUGAAGCCUAGCGAUAUCCUGAGUAAGUCGGGACACGUGAAAUCCUGACCGAAUCUGCGGGGACCAUCCCGUAAGGCUAAAUACUCCCGAGAGACCGAUAGUGAACCAGUACCGUGAGGGAAAGGUGAAAAGAACCUCGAAUAGAGGAGUGAAAUAGACCCUGAACCCGUCUGCCUACAAGCGGUCGGAGCACCUUUAAGGUGUGACGGCGUGCCUUUUGCAUAAUGAACCUGCGAGUUGUUUUUUUUGGCAAGGUUAAGCAUCAGUAGGUGCGCAGCCGAAGCGAAAGCGAGUCUGAAUAGGGCGACUAAGUCAAAAGGAGCAGACGCGAAACCAAGUGAUCUACCGAUGGCCAGGCUGAAGGUUGGGUAACACCAACUGGAGGGCCGAAUGGAUAUACGUUGAAAAGUGUUCCAAUGAGCUGUGGGUAGGGGUGAAAGGCUAAUCAAACUUGGAGAUAGCUCGUACUCCCCGAAAUGCAUUUAGGUGCAGCCUCGGGUAAGGUACUGAUGAGAGGUAGAGCGACUGAUUGGAUGCGAGGGCUUCACCGCCUAUCAAGUCCGGCCAAACUCCGAAUGCUCAUCAGCAACAUCCCGGGAGUGAGGGCAUGGGUGCUAAGGUCCAUGUCCGAAAGGAGAAGAAUCCAGAUCACCGGCUAAGGUCCCCAAAUAGCAGCUAAGUUGCAUUAACGAAGUCCGACCGCAGCGACAGCCAGGAUGUUGGCUUGGAAGCAGCCAUUCAUUUAAAGAGUGCGUAACAGCUCACUGGUCGAGGGGUCGGGCAUGGAUAAUAAUCGGGCAUAAGCUGUUUACCGAAGCCGUGAGAUCGAAAAGAUCGGUAGGGGAGCAUUCCAUUAUCAGCGUUGAAGAUGAGAGGUGACUCUUGUUGGAGCGGAUGGAAAAGCAAAUGCAGGUAUAAGUAACGAUAAAGGGGGUGAAAAACCUCCUCGCCGAAAGACCAAGGGUUCCUGAUCAACGCUAAUCGGAUCAGGGUUAGUCGGGACCUAAGGCUAAGCCGAAGGGCGAUGCCGAUGGAAGAACCGGUUAAUAUUCCGGUACUGCUUUGUGGAGUGAUGUGGAGACGGAGAAGUGACAGCUCGGCCAUCUGACGGAAUAGGUGGUUGAAGGGUGUAGACGUUGAUUGUUGUAGGCAAAUCCGCAACAAGAGUUGAACCUGACAGUAUGCAGCGUACUUGUACAAUGUAAUAAGAGCGUAAUCAGGCUCCCAAGAAAACCCGCUAAACAUAUCUACAAAGCACCCGUACUCGAAACGGACACACGUGGUCGGGUUGAAAAUACUAAGGCGCUCGAGUGAUUCACGGUUAAGGAACUAGGCAAAAUGGUCCUGUAACUUCGGGAUAAAGGACGCCAAUAGCAAUAUUGGUCGCAGAGAAUAGGCCCAGGCGACUGUUUAACAAAAACACAUGACUAUGCGAAAUCGAAAGAUGAGGUAUAUGGUCUGACACCUGCCCGGUGCUGGAAGGUUAAGAGGAGAUGUCAUCCUGCAAGGGAGAAGCAUUGAAUUGAAGCCCCAGUAAACGGCGGCCGUAACUAUAACGGUCCUAAGGUAGCGAAAUUCCUUGUCGGGUAAGUUCCGACCUGCACGAAUGGUGUAACGAUCUGGGCACUGUCUCAACUGUGAGCUCGGUGAAAUUGUAGUAUCGGUGAAGAUGCCGAUUACCCGCGAUGGGACGAAAAGACCCCGUGAACCUUUACUAUAGCUUUACAUUGAAAUUGGGCAUGCGAUGUGUAGGAUAGGCCGGAGGCUGAGAGACGGUGACGCCAGUCAUCGUGGAGCCGCUGUUGAAAUACGGCCCUUUGUGUGUUUGGUUUCUAACUCCCGGGAAAGGGAGGACGGUGUAUGGUGGGUAGUUUGACUGGGGUGGUCGCCUCCAAAAGCGUAACGGAGGCUUCU
rnacentral:rRNA from 1 species